rnacentral:tRNA from 1 species
AUCUGAAUAGUUUAAUCUAAAAUAUUGAUUUGUGGUGUCGAUGAUGAAGUUUACUUUCUUCUUCGGGUU